rnacentral:rRNA from 1 species
CCUACGGGGGGCUGCAGUGGGGAAUAUUGCACAAUGGGGGAAACCCUGAUGCAGCCAUGCCGCGUGUGUGAAGAAGGCCUUCGGGUUGUAAAGCACUUUCAGCGAGGAGGAAGGGUUGGCGCCUAAUACGUGUCAACUGUGACGUUACUCGCAGAAGAAGCACCGGCUACCUCCGUGCCAGCAGCCGCGGUCAUACGGCGGGUGCAAGCGUUAAUCGGAAUUACUGGGCGUAAAGCGCACGCAGGCGGUUGAAUAAGUUAGAUGUGAGAGCCCCGGGCUGAACCUUGGAAUUGCAUUUAAAACUGUCCAGCUACAGUCUUGUAGAGGGGGGUAGAAUUCCAGGUGUAGCGGUGAAAUGCGUAUAGAUCUGGAGGAAUACCGGUGGCGAAGGCGGCCCCCUGGACAAAGACUGACGCUCAGGUGCGAAAGCGUGGGGAGCAAACAGGAUUAGAUACCCCAGUAGUC